rnacentral:lncRNA from 10 species
AAGCAUAAGAAGAAUAGAUUAGCAUACAGACAUGUAGGUUUUGCGGAAAUUUAAACACAUAGUCCUUCUGUUUGCACAAUCAAAAAUUUAAAAAUGGAAUCCACAUGAAAGUCGUCUGCAGAGGAAACCUGAAGUGAAAAUUGUCACCAGUCACUGAGCCAGAUUGGUGCAGGAACCACUUACAUGGGCUUAUUGGGGCCAGUUAUGUGACAUUCUUCCCAUUUCUCUAUUUAUUGACCUCAUAUUGGUAGCUUGAAAUUAGCCAUGGUGGGCAUAUUUACACUGAUAAAAUUUUAUCAAAUGCUACAUGUAAGAUUUCCCUCACCUCCACCCCUAGAACUGGCUGUUAAACAUUUACUAGUUCAUCUAACUAUUCUUCUUGGCCAUUUCUUUAUCUUUCUUCCUCCAGGAGUCAACAGCAACAAGCAUGUUUGUGGUGUUUGCACUCAGAAAACUCCCAGUGUUAAGUGGAUUGUUAUCAAGAGAAAAACAGUCUUAGAUGCAACAUAAAAAUUUCAGAGACAGAAGAAAUCUUCCUUUGAGGGCAGGUGAGUCUAUUAUUUGGAAGGGAGUAACACAAAACUCCACAGGAUGCUCUAUGAUCAAUACAAUCAACAAACCUUCACACUGUAUGUUUAAAGGUAUUAAGAAGAUAAACAAACACAUCAGAAUUUUACCAGUUGGAAUAAUCCUGUAUUGGAUGCUUGCCUCAUUUGGGGAUUUACCAUUGAUCUCUUCUCUAUCCUGAACUUCACAGCAUUAUUCUCAAUGACUCUACAAAAGUAAAGGAUAGCUGUUAGUUAAAUAUUAGAAAAAUUUUUGGUUUAAAAUUGAAGACAAGUUGCAUAUUUAUUAAUUGUAUAAGGUAAAACAUGAGAAGGCAAAAUUAUUUUUUAAAUUAAAAUUUUAGCUACAUUUGUCCAUAUAUUAAUCCAUUAAAAUAUUUUUGAGUACCUUCUAUGUAUAUGUGACUGUUCUAUUAUGUGAGGACAGAGUAAUAAACAAAAUAUACAUGUUGUCUCCCCUUUUAGAGCUUAUACACUAGUGCAGAAAUGAAUGAGGGGAUAUUAAAAUAUGUAAUCAAAAUUGUGAUAAUAAUUAGAAAGAAGAAGAAUAUGACUAGAGCAUAGGACAAAAUGUCCUGACCUGACCUAUAAGAAAACUUAUUUGAGGCCGGGCGCGGUGGCUCACGCCUGUAAUCCCAGCACUUUGGGAGGCCGAGGCGGGCGGAUCACAAGGUCAGGAGAUCGAGACCACGGUGAAACCCCGUCUCUACUAAAAAUACAAAAAAUUAGCCGGGCGCGGUUGUGGGCACCUGUAGUCCCAGCUACUCGGGAGGCUGAGGCAGGAGAAUGGCGUGAACCCGGGAGGCGGAGCUUGCAGUGAGCCGAGAUCGCGCCACUGCACUCCAGCCUGGGCGACAGAGCGAGACUCCAUCUCAAAAAAAAAACAAACAAACAAACAAAAAAAAACUUAUUUGAGGAAGUUUAAUUUUGUUGUCUUAAAAGAUUAAAAGAAAUUAACUAGCUUGGGGGUAUGUGCCCUGAGUGACAAGGUGAAUUUAGGAGUGGAAGCAAAAGAGAAGAGACAUCCCAGAAAAUGUAACACAAAGGUCAAUAUCACUGAGAUGUGAAGGAGCACGUCACAUCAGGAACUGAGAGAAAACAUUAUCAUUAAUUAUCAGAGAAAUGCAAAUCAAAAUGGCAGUGAGAUAUCAUCUCGUAUCACUCAGAUGGCUGCUGUUAAAAUGUUAAAAAAUAAUAGAUGCUCCUGGGGUUGUGGAGAAAAGGAAAGCCUUAUACACUGUUGGUGGGAAUGUAUAUUAAUUCAGCCACCAUGGACAGCAGUUUGCUGAUCUCUCAAAUAACUUAGUACAGAGCUACCAUUCCACUUAGCAAUUCCAUUACUAGGUAUGUAAACAAAGAG